rnacentral:rRNA from 1 species
GAUGAACGCUAGCUACAGGCUUAACACAUGCAAGUCGAGGGGUAACGAGAGGGAAGCUUGCUUUCCUUGUCGACGACCGGCGCACGGGUGAGUAACGCGUAUCCAACCUGCCCCCAACUAGGGAAUAACCUUGCGAAAGUAAGACUAAUACCCUAUAAUUUCCUCAGAUGUCAUCUGACGAGGAAUAAAGAUUUAUCGGUUGGGGAUGGGGAUGCGUCUGAUUAGCUUGUUGGCGGGGUAACGGCCCACCAAGGCAACGAUCAGUAGGGGUUCUGAGAGGAAGGUCCCCCACAUUGGAACUGAGACACGGUCCAAACUCCUACGGGAGGCAGCAGUGAGGAAUAUUGGUCAAUGGGCGGAAGCCUGAACCAGCCAAGUAGCGUGCAGGAUGACGGCCCUAUGGGUUGUAAACUGCUUUUAUACAGGAAUAAAGUUAGCCACGUGUGGUUAUUUGUAGGUACUGUAUGAAUAAGGACCGGCUAAUUCCGUGCCAGCCGCCGCGAGUAA